AUUUGGGAGGUUCAACUUUGAUAAGAGCCAGAAACCAGUCCUGCUUGCAAGUUUUGCUUACAAGUAUCUUUACACAGCAGGAGCAUGACAGGAUUUAAAGGAUGAGAUCUAAUAGCAAAUAUGAGGAAACUGAAGCCCAAAGAGGAUGAUGAAGCUGAGCCAAACAGAGGUUAACUGACUUGCCUAGUAUCACACAGCUGGUUAUUUCUACCUUCUGAAUUCAAUUCUCCCUGUGCAACAAAAAACUGUUUGGUUCUGCACACAUAUAUUGUAUCUAGGAUAUACUGAAACCUAUUCAACAUGUAAAGGACUGCUUGCCAUCUGGGGGAGGGGGUGGAGGAAGGGAGGGGAAAAAUCGGAACAGAAGUGAGUGCAAGGGAUAAUGCUGUAAAAAAUUACCUUGGUAUGGGUUCUAUCAAUAAAAAGUUAUUUAAAAAAAAAAAAAAAGAAAGGAUCAAAUGACCUGGGUUUUAUUCAUGCUUCCAUGACUUAAUGACUUUUUGACCUUAGACAGGUCACUCAGAAAGUCUCAAUUUCCUGAUCUGUAAAAUGAAGAGGUUCGUCUAGAUAACUUUAAAGUACCUUUCAAUUUUAUAUCUAUGAUCUGAUGAUCCUUUGAGGCAUUGGAAUAGGACUUUAAGUGGGCGGAGA